CCCCCGGAACCCAAAAGCUUUGGUUUCCCGGAAGCUGCCCGCCGAGUCAUCGGAGGAACGUCGGCGGAUCGCUAGCUGGCAUCGUUUAUGGUCAGAACUAGGGCGGUAUCUGAUCGCCUUCGAACCUCUGACUUUCGUUCUUGAUUAAUGAAAACAUUUUUGGCAAAUGCUUUCGCUUCUGUCCGUCUUGCGACGAUCCAAGAAUUUCACCUCUAACGUCGCAAUACGAAUGCCCCCAUCUGUCCCUAUUAAUCAUUACCUCGGGGUUCCGAAAACCAACAAAAUAGAACCGAGGUCCUGUUCCAUUAUUCCAUGCACACAAUAUUCAGGCGAAAUUUUAGCCUGCUUUGAGCACUCUAAUUUGUUCAAAGUAAACGUGCCGGCCCGCCUCGACACUCAAUUAAGAGCACCGCGACAGGAUUAUUGAGUCGGAUGCUGGAGCGCCUGCAACCCCACCACAUCAUACAGUAACAACCGAAGUUGCACACGCACAAUGGGGAAGCAUACAAGGUCCGCGCAUCCACCGGCAGGACGUUCCGCGGACGUGCCAGUUAAACACCGCGGGCGGUGAACCGACAGCGCGGAACACAAAUUCAACUACGAGCUUUUU
rnacentral:rRNA from 1 species